rnacentral:rRNA from 1 species
ACUCCUACGGGAGGCAGCAGUGGGGAAUAUUGGACAAUGGGGGAAACCCUGAUCCAGCCAUGCCGCGUGUGUGAAGAAGGCCUUCGGGUUGUAAAGCACUUUCAGUGGGGAGGAAGGUUGUUGGUUAAUACCUAACAGCUGUGACGUUACCCACAGAAGAAGCACCGGCUAACUCCGUGCCAGCAGCCGCGGUAAUACGGAGGGUGCAAGCGUUAAUCGGAAUUACUGGGCGUAAAGCGUGCGCAGGCGGUCUGUUAAGCGAGAUGUGAAAGCCCCGGGCUCAACCUGGGAACUGCAUUUCGAACUGGCAGACUAGAGUCUUGUAGAGGGGGUAGAAUUCCAGGUGUAGCGGUGAAAUGCGUAGAGAUCUGGAGGAAUACCGGUGGCGAAGGCGGCCCCUGGACAAGACUGACGCUCAGGCACGAAAGCGUGGGAGCAAACAGGAUUAGAUACCCGUGGUAGGUCAGUC